rnacentral:rRNA from 1 species
UACGGGGAGAGCAAGCGUUGUUCGGAUUUACUGGGCGUAAAGGGCGCGUAGGCGGCCACCGCAAGUCAGUUGUGAAAUCUCUGGGCUUAACCCAGAAAGGUCAACUGAUACUGCGGGGCUAGAGUGCAGAAGGGGCAACUGGAAUUCUCGGUGUAGCGGUGAAAUGCGUAGAUAUCGAGAGGAACACCUGCGGCGAAGGCGGGUUGCUGGACUGACACUGACGCUGAGGCGCGAAAGCUAGGGGAGCGAACGGG